rnacentral:rRNA from 1 species
UACGUAGGGUGCGAGCGUUAAUCGGAAUUACUGGGCGUAAAGCGUGCGCAGGCGGCGCGUUAAGACAGGUGUGAAAGCCCCGAGCUUAACUUGGGAACUGCGUCUGAGACUGGCGAGCUUGAGGGCAGGAGAGGAACGCGGAAUUCCAGGUGUAGCGGUGAAAUGCGUAGAUAUCUGGAGGAACACCGGUGGCGAAGGCGGCGUUCUGGACUGCAUCUGACACUGAAAGACGAAAGCCAGGGGAGCAAACGGG